rnacentral:lncRNA from 1 species
GGCGCACAAGUUACAUCUGUUAGGAGUUUCUACAACUCAGCUGUAAAAAUCUAAAUUCACAGGAGGUUGAUUUCUCUGUACCAAGAAAUCAGACAGGUUUUCACAUCCCAAAGCAUUACAAUAACAUAAGCACAAGCACAACCAACAACAAAAUUAACCUCACUUACAAAUUGCCACUAGUAAACCUACAGGAGAUUGAUUUCUGUACCAAGAAAUCAGACAGGUUUUCAUAUCCCAAAGCAUUACAACAGAAGCACACAACCAACAUUAAAACUAACGUCAGUUACAAAUCGCCACUAGUAAACCUACACUCUACUCUCCCUUCUCCAGCAUCUUCUAAUUGAAGCCAAGUCUCCUACCACUGAAACUUGCAAGAAAACCAUCAUUGCUGACUUGUUCCAACACUGUGAGUUGCAAAACCGCAACCAGCACCAU